rnacentral:rRNA from 1 species
AUGAGAAGUGAUUCCUUCCACGGGUGACGCUUCGGAAGCCUUAGCAGCCUGAAAGGGUGGCCCUCAACGACAAUAAAUAAAUUAAGAGGCGCUGAAAUGCUAGUCAGCACGCAAGUACUGGCGACACCGUCAAAUUGCGGGGAUCCCCUAAAGAUUUUUGCUACCAAGCAGCGCCGGGAAACCGAGCUGUGGCCAGGGUAAUGACCUCGGGUAUGGUAACAACGCAAAAAUAUGCGCCUCUGGUGUUCAGAGGCAAAAUGGGCAACCUGCAGCCAAGUCCGUAGCGCUUUCAGUGCCGGAUGCUGUUCACAGGCCAAAUGGUGGUGGGUCGAUCCGAGAGGGUCGGCUUAAGAUAUGGUCGGGCCCCCCGGGAAACCUUGGGGAUAGUCACCAAACAGUCAAAUUGCGGCGGGGAGCGAAAAAGUGUAAGCUCCCGGUCAUAGGCGGCUGGACAAUAUAGCUGUAGGAAAUGUUUAUACAUUGCUCCCUGAGUGGUAUUCUUAGCUAUAAAUGCUUAAACUGUUCCGUAGGUGAACCUGCGGAAGGAUCAUUA